UUUUAGUAGCGCGUGAGAGCAUAGCCUUUCAGACGCUAUUCACUAGUAGCACAACUUGUUUCGACGCUUAGAGUAAUAUCGUAGCUCCUUCGAUGGCUGGCUUAGAUAACAGUCAGAGUGCGCGCGCAUCUCUAUAGAGUGAUGCGAGGAAUGGAAGGGUCGAGAGGAUUACCUCGCUGUCGUGGGGCCUCAACAGUGAAUUGGUCUUGACCUAGACGGGGCGCGACGCGCGACGGUGGUGAGUAAUGCUACAGUGACGAUCGUAGCUGUCUAGUGACGUCUAUCACCUGGACUGAGCACGGCCAGACUCUACGGAUGUCAGCAGUGGGAAUUUUGGUCAAUGGGGCACCCUGAUCCAGCAAUGCGCGUGUGUGAAGAAGACUUCGGGUUGUUAAAGCACUUUUGUCCGGAAAAGAAAACGCGUGGUUAAUACCCGUGGCGGAAUGAACGAUACCGAAAAGAAUAAGCACCGAGCUAAACUACGUUGCCAGCAGGCCGCGGUAAUACGUAGGGGUGCAAGCGUUUAAUCGGAAAUACUGGGCGUUAAAAGCGUGCGCAAGGCGGUUCCGCUAAAGACAGAUGUUGAAAUCCCCCGGGCUUUACCCUGGGAACUGCAUUUGUGACUGGCGGGGCUAGAAUAAUGGCAGAGGGGGGGUAGAAUUUCCCCGUGUAGCCAGUGAAAUGCGGUAGAGGAUGGUGGAGGAAUUCCGAAUGGCGGAAGGGCAGCCCCUGGGCCAAUACUGACGCUCAUGCACGAAAACGGGGGGAAGAAACAGG
rnacentral:rRNA from 1 species